GAGAUUGUAGUUCAAUUGGUUAGAGCACCGCCCUGUCAAGACGGAAGUUGUGGGUUCAAGUCCCAUCAAUCUCG
rnacentral:tRNA from 1 species